CGGAAUUAGAGACCGGCGCACGGGUGCGUAACGCGUAUGCAAUCUACCUUUCACAGAGGGAUAGCCCAGAGAAAUUUGGAUUAAUACCUCAUAGUAUAUCGAGUUGGCAUCAACAUGAUAUUAAAGUCACAACGGUGAAAGAUGAGCAUGCGUCCCAUUAGUUAGUUGGUAAGGUAACGGCUUACCAAGACUACGAUGGGUAGGGGUCCUGAGAGGGAGAUCCCCCACACUGGUACUGAGACACGGACCAGACUCC
rnacentral:rRNA from 1 species